rnacentral:rRNA from 1 species
CCUACGGGAGGCAGCAGUGGGGAAUAUUGGACAAUGGGCGAAAGCCUGAUCCAGCCAUGCCGCGUGUGUGAAGAAGGCCUUCGGGUUGUAAAGCACUUUCAGUGGGGAAGAAAGCCUUGGGGCUAAUACCCUCGAGGAAGGACAUCACCCACAGAAGAAGCACCGGCGUAACUCCGUGCCAGCAGCCGCGGUAAUACGGAGGGUGCGAGCGUUAAUCGGAAUUACUGGGCGUAAAGCGCGCGUAGGCGGUCUGAUAAGCCGGUUGUGAAAGCCCCGGGCUCAACCUGGGAACGGCAUCCGGAACUGUCAGGCUAGAGUGCAGGAGAGGAAGGUAGAAUUCCCGGUGUAGAGGUGAAAUGCGUAGAGAUCGGGAGGAAUACCAGUGGCGAAGGCGGCCUUCUGGACUGACACUGACGCUGAGGUGCGAAAGCGUGGGUAGCAAACAGGAUUAGAUACCCAGUAGUC